rnacentral:rRNA from 1 species
AUGGAUUUUGAGGUAAAUCUAUACAAUUCUGAGAGCGUAUCCCAUUUUGGUUGUCCGGGUUGGGAAGCACUUUGCAAGAUGUAUGAUUUUCAAGAGGGUAUGUUUGUCACCAUGGAUCUUGGUGAUCCUGGCAUCGACCAACACAACUUGGACAUUUGGGUCCUUGUUGAUACGCUUCCAAUUCUACCGCCAUCUUAUUUUCAUUGUUCAAACAAUGUGCGGAACAUGGUAGACAGGACCUACUACACCGAUGGCUUUGAAUUAACUUAUCAGGAGAAAAAUCAUCUGGUUGCAUUUUAUACUGAUCUUGAGAAUUACAAUAUCUAUAAUAAAACUCCUCCACAUUAUGGUCAAUACGUGCCAUUAGUGCAUGUGUUGAACUACGGUAACAUCCAUGGAGAUGGCAUGGAAAUCCCGGAUGAUUGCGUGCCUCAUCUGAUGUAUCAGAAAGGUCGCCUUAAUGUUUUGAACAUACAGCCAGGUCGUCCUACGAACCUCACAUGUCCAUAUCGUAUUUCUAAAAGAGGUGGAGACAUGAAAAUCACAGAAUGGAAAAAAUGUAUGGACAGUCGUAAGGAGGUACUUGGAAGCAACAUUGUGCGAAAGGUAAGAAUUGGAGACGGGAUAAUCUCCAUUCUCCAUAAUGGAGAGUCAGGGGCUAUCUUGUUUUAUGCUAUUUUACCUAAGAGAAUAUAG